UAUUGGACAAUGGGCGCAAGCCUGAUCCAGCAACGCCGCGUGGAGGACGAAGGUCUUCGGAUCGUAAACUCCUGUCAGGCGGGACGAAGGCUUCCGGGCAAAUAGUCUGGAAGCUUGACGGUACUGCCAGCGGAAGCCCCGGCUAACUACGUGCCAGCAGCCGCGGUAAUACGUAGGUGGCAAGCGUUGUCCGGAUUUACUGGGCGUAAAGAGCGCGCAGGCGGUCGUGCAAGUCGCGUGUGAAAGCCCCCGGCUCAACUGGGGAGGGUCACGCGAUACUGCUCGACUUGAAGGCAGGAGAGGGAAGUGGAAUUCCCGGUGUAGUGGUGAAAUGCGUAGAUAUCGGGAGGAACACCAGUGGCGAAGGCGACUUCCUGGCCUGUUCUUGACGCUGAGGCGCGAAAGCUAGGGUAGCAAAC
rnacentral:rRNA from 1 species